rnacentral:rRNA from 1 species
AUUGAACGCCGGCGGCAGGCCUAACACAUGCUAGUCGAGCGCUGCGGCGGACGGGUGAGUAAUGCCUAGGAAUCCGCCUGGUAGUGGGGGAUCCGGGCCGGAAACGGGCGCUAAUACCGCAUACUAUCAGACGAGAAUAGGUCGUACUAGCUAGUUGGUGGGGUCAUGGCCUACCAAGGCGACGAUCCGUAACUGGUCUGAGAGGAUGAUCAGUCACACUGGAACUGAGACACGGUCCAGACGCGUACUGGAGGCAGCAGUGGGGAAUGUUGAACAAUAAGCGAAAGCCGGAUCCAGCCAUGCCGCGUGUGUGAAGAAGGUCUUCGGAUGGUAAAGCGCUUUAAGUUGGGCGGCGUUACGAACAGAAUAAACACCGACUAACUUCGUGCCAGCAGCCGCGGUAAUUC